GCUGGCGGCAGGCCUAACACAUGCAAGUCGAGCGCAGUCCUUCGGGACCGAGCGGCGGACGGGUUAGUAACGCGUGGGAACAUACCCUUUUCUACGGAAUAGCCUCGGGAAACUGAGAGUAAUACCGUAUAAGCCCUUCGGGGGAAAGAUUUAUCGGGAAAGGAUUGGCCCGCGUUAGAUUAGAUAGUUGGUGGGGUAAUGGCCUACCAAGUCUACGAUCUAUAGCUGGUUUUAGAGGAUGAUCAGCAACACUGGGACUGAGACACGGCCCAGACUCCUACGGGAGGCAGCAGUGGGGAAUCUUAGACAAUGGGCGCAAGCCUGAUCUAGCCAUGCCGCGUGUGUGAUGAAGGUCUUAGGAUCGUAAAGCACUUUCGCCAGGGAUGAUAAUGACAGUACCUGGUAAAGAAACCCCGGCUAACUCCGUGCCAGCAGCCGCGGUAAUACGGAGGGGGUUAGCGUUGUUCGGAAUUACUGGGCGUAAAGCGUACGUAGGCGGAUCAGAAAGUAGGGGGUGAAAUCCCAGGGCUCAACCCUGGAACUGCCUCCUAAACUCCUGGUCUUGAGUUCGAGAGAGGUGAGUGGAAUUCCAAGUGUAGAGGUGAAAUUCGUAGAUAUUUGGAGGAACACCAGUGGCGAAGGCGGCUCACUGGCUCGAUACUGACGCUGAGGUACGAAAGUGUGGGGAGCAAACAGGAUUAGAUACCCUGGUAGUCCACACCGUAAACGAUGAAUGCCAGUCGUCGGGCAGUAUACUGUUCGGUGACACACCUAACGGAUUAAGC
rnacentral:rRNA from 1 species